rnacentral:rRNA from 1 species
GAGUUUGAUCAUGGCUCAGAUUGAACGCUGGCGGCAGGCUUAACACAUGCAAGUCGAGCGGAGAUGAGGUGCUUGCACCUUAUCUUAGCGGCGGACGGGUGAGUAAUGCUUAGGAAUCUGCCUAUUAGUGGGGGACAAACAUUCCGAAAGGGAUGCUAAUACCGCAUACGUCCUACGGGAGAAAGCAGGGGAUCUUCGGACCUUGCGCUAAUAGAUGAGCCUAAGUCGGAUUAGCUAGUUGGUGGGGUAAAGGCCUACCAAGGCGACGAUCUGUAGCGGGUCUGAGAGGAUGAUCCGCCACACUGGGACUGAGACACGGCCCAGACUCCUACGGGAGGCAGCAGUGGGGAAUAUUGGACAAUGGGGGGAACCCUGAUCCAGCCAUGCCGCGUGUGUGAAGAAGGCCUUAUGGUUGUAAAGCACUUUAAGCGAGGAGGAGGCUACUGAGACUAAUACUCUUGGAUAGUGGACGUUACUCGCAGAAUAAGCACCGGCUAACU